GCAGAGUAAACAUUCGAGCGUUAAGUGUUUGUCGGACGGGGAGUUGCCGACAAAACGAAGAUUUUUCGCGGUUCGUUUGUUGCAUCCCGCUGC
rnacentral:ncRNA from 1 species